rnacentral:rRNA from 1 species
AUUGAACGCUGGCGGCAGGCCUAACACAUGCAAGUCGAGCGGUGCGGCGGACGGGCGAGCGAUGGCUAGGUACCUGCCUGGUUGCGGGGGAGAAGGUCCGGAAAGGGGCGCAAAUACCGUAUACCAUCAGACGAGUCGAGGUGGGAGUGGCUAGUUGGUGGGGUAAUGGCUUACCAAGGCGACGAUCCGUAACUGGUCUGAGAGGAUGAUCAGUCACACUGGAACUGAGACACGGUCCAGACUCCUACGGGAGGCAGCAGUGGGGAAUAUUGGACAAUGGGCGAAAGCCUGAUCCAGCCAUGCCGCGUGUGUGAAGAAGGCCUUCGGGUUGUAAAGCACUUUAAGUUGGGAGGCGUUACCCGCAGAAGAAGCACCGGCUAACUUCGUGCCAGCAGCCGCGGUAAUAC